rnacentral:misc_RNA from 1 species
GGCAAUGAAAACAAACGCACAUAGCUCUACGGAAUCUUGUUUACUUAAACUUAGAAUUAAUAUAAAGUUUCAAAUAUAAAUGCAAAAAUCACUAGAAUAGCAGUCACUUCUUGAAGUGUUAAAAAAGGACAAAACACACACACUCAGACACUUAUAUAUAUAAUACUACUAAAAAAAAUAAAAAUUAAAGUGAAAAAUAAGGUCAUGAGGCUUUCAAGAGAGUUUCCUAUUUGGUCAUAGGAUAACACAUGAGAUCAACUUCGUUUCAGCCUCUCAUUUCAAUCUUCAAGUUAUUAUUAAUUAUCAUCAUCGUCAUCAUUAUCAUUGUCAUCGAUUUAAUUAUUAUUUUACAUAUAUAAAGCUUGAUUAUUUCUACAAGUUCAACUCACAGGCUGCCAUUGAUCUCGUAGAAUCCAUUAGAUUUUUGAGUACCCUCUCCUGCAAAUGACUGGUGAUCUAAUUUCGCGUGCUUGUUUCCAUCCAGCUUGAGCCCAAAGUGAAUGUGAGGGAAAUGUGCCCAAUUUUUUGCUGCUGUGCUAAAAGCUUCCCUGUGGCUGAUGUCAGGAUUACUAGCCUUGAUCCUUUGAAUUUCCUCCUUAAUGAACCUGUUAUAUGCGGAUGGAACACGUUGUCUCUUCUCUGGGGGGCGGAUCGGAGGCAUUCUAGGUGGUUCAUGAUCCCCAGACUCAAAUGCGGUGACCUUUUCGGAAGAUGAUCCACAGUCCUUGUUUACAUCUUCAGAGCUUAAGUGCAUUUUCUGCGAGGACUGGGGAUCUUGAAGAGGAAAUGUUUGAAGUGAAGCUGCCAUGUUCACAGACAGCAAAUUUGCACAAUGCCCACAUCUGACCGUCACAAUAUUGAACAAAUUGCUGCUUGGAACACUAACCUGCCAACCACAACAUUUCAGAACAUGAAAAGGAAUCUCCUUUAUUAUAUAUGCACGUAUCUCUCCCACACAUAUACUCCACCUGUUACUUACAGCAUGUAGAAACCCUAGCAUCCAAAACCCAACUAUUCUUAUGACCAACAGCAAAUACCCAUGAAGUAAUUCGUCAGAUCAAACAAUGUUAUAGAAACAUAAGAAGAAGUAACAUUGCAUGCAUAUGCUGAAACUCAAAAGCUUUGAGAGGUCUACACAAUAAGUAACUAAAAUCACAACUAUAAAUAGAUUUCUUUCUAUCAAUCAUGUAAAGGAAGAUGAAUGAAAAAGAAAAUGUAGGGCUGCAAUUCGAGUGGAAGUGUAAGUAUAAAACGAGAGAGAAGGAGGAAGUGAGAAUGAAUGUGCCAACGAGAAGUAGAGAAAGGACAAAUCAUUUUUUUUUUCCUGCAAAAUUUUAUGGGUUUUCAUUGACAUUGUAUGGGGCUCAUUCGUGGGCUAAGCUUGAGAGAGAGAUGGAGAAUUGUAUUUUAUCUAUGUAAAGAUCAAAUGCACUAGUUCCCAGUUAUCACUGACCUCACAGACACCUCACAUGGGUAUUAACUAUAAGGACUCGACCUUGUAAAUUUAAAUGCUACUCUUAUCUCUCAAAAUUGCUCCUUCCUUUCGGUGCUGCUCCUGACUUUUUCUCCUGACACAGAGACCAAUAUUAUAAAAGAUAAAAAAUAAAAAAUAAAAAAGAAGAAAAUAGGCAUGAAGCAAGAGGGAGAAGAGAAGAUGAAAGGGACGUGACUGGAACGGAAACCAUAGAUAGCAAUGAAUAAAGAGAGAUGUGUCAUGACUAGAAAUUAUAUACUGAUCUUUGUGCACUGCUUAGGAUCUCCAUUUCUGAAAAGGGAUGCGCAGAGAAGAGAGUGAGACAUAAAAAGCAGAAUUUUCUCUUUAAAUUUAACAGAUAAUUGUCAUGAUGAUGAAAGAUGGUUGAAAAAGAGAGACUAAAAGCAAUUUUAUUUCUCUAUGGCUUGGCCUUGAUUCUUUUCGGCUAGCUAACUAGCUCGAUCACCUCACAAUUUCUUGUAGAGAAGAGAGACAACUCCUUUUGUACUUAAAAGGCACAAACCAUAAAAUAAGCAAGAAGAAGAUCACAUUUCUGAUGAAAAUUGAUUCUUCAUUGCCUUAGUUCGCAGCAACAGAAGCACCCACCUCAGAAAGAGAGAGAGAGAGAGAUUGAUCUUGAACAAUUACCAUUCACAAAUUAAAGAUCAUUACUACACUAUCGAAUGGAAAAUGGAAAGCCAUGUGCCAGCAGUGAUAGGCCGCUAUUGAUCGAUAGGGUAGCAUGACGUAUGAAACUGUGCAACAUUUCUGCAAGCCCAAGGAAAAGCUUUCCCUCCCCUUGUACCCAAUAACCUGCUAAGAACCCUAACGCCUAAAUGUAGUCCUAGUAAAUAGCUCAUCAGCUAAAGAUUGUCUUCUUUAUGAGCGUUUGAAAUUGUUAUAAACCUAACUUCUUCUUCUUCUUCUUCUUCUU